CAUGACAACAUUGUUUUAAUAAGACGGUAAAACAUACGGUGGUCCACUGGUGCACAACAAAACGAGAUUUAUUAUUUUAUUUUUUUACCAAAAAUGAGUUCACAAUACAACACUGAGGUGACUGGUGUUUGAUACAAGGAGUCAGAAGCUUUGUUACAAGUAAGAUUAAAUAUACUCUUGAAUAUACAGUAAAAAAUACAUAACUUUUAGUUAAAGAAUAAAAGGUAAUAAAUUUAGUCCAGUUUCUGAAUUUAACUUGAAAGUAAAAUGCACUUCAUGCAGCACUUGUUCUUUAAUAUGCUUUAAUAGAUCUUAUGAUCUUUAAUAGAUCAAAGUUUAUGUGAAAGCAAAAUGUCCAUCAACCUUCAAUCCAUAAUUAUUCAAUUUCUG